rnacentral:tRNA from 1 species
UAUGUAAUGGUGUAUGAUGCACUUAAAGUUUUGAUCUUUAGGGUUACGGUUUGAUUCCGUAUUAUGUAA